rnacentral:misc_RNA from 1 species
GUCUAGCCUCGAUUGUAGCGAUUGUUUGAGCUCAUUUUAAUAAGUUUCGGCGCGGCGGCUCCGCCGCGCCGAAACUUAUUAAAAUAGCGAGUGCGGAAAGCGAGAAAAAGC